AGAGUUUUGAUAUAUGGCUCAGGACGAACGCUGGCGGCGUGCCUAAUACAUGCAAGUCGAGCGGACAGAUGGGAGCUUGCUCCCUGAUGUUAGCGGCGGACGGGUGAGUAACACGUGGGUAACCUGCCUGUAAGACUGGGAUAACUCCGGGAAACCGGGGCUAAUACCGGAUGGUUGUUUGAACCGCAUGGUUCAAACAUAAAAGGUGGCUUCGGCUACCACUUACAGAUGGACCCGCGGCGCAUUAGCUAGUUGGUGAGGUAACGGCUCACCAAGGCAACGAUGCGUAGCCGACCUGAGAGGGUGAUCGGCCACACUGGGACUGAGACACGGCCCAGACUCCUACGGGAGGCAGCAGUAGGGAAUCUUCCGCAAUGGACGAAAGUCUGACGGAGCAACGCCGCGUGAGUGAUGAAGGUUUUCGGAUCGUAAAGCUCUGUUGUUAGGGAAGAACAAGUACCGUUCGAAUAGGGCGGUACCUUGACGGUACCUAACCAGAAAGCCACGGCUAACUACGUGCCAGCAGCCGCGGUAAUACGUAGGUGGCAAGCGUUGUCCGGAAUUAUUGGGCGUAAAGGGCUCGCAGGCGGUUUCUUAAGUCUGAUGUGAAAGCCCCCGGCUCAACCGGGGAGGGUCAUUGGAAACUGGGGAACUUGAGUGCAGAAGAGGAGAGUGGAAUUCCACGUGUAGCGGUGAAAUGCGUAGAGAUGUGGAGGAACACCAGUGGCGAAGGCGACUCUCUGGUCUGUAACUGACGCUGAGGAGCGAAAGCGUGGGGAGCGAACAGGAUUAGAUACCCUGGUAGUCCACGCCGUAAACGAUGAGUGCUAAGUGUUAGGGGGUUUCCGCCCCUUAGUGCUGCAGCUAACGCAUUAAGCACUCCGCCUGGG
rnacentral:rRNA from 1 species